AUUGAACGCUGGUGGCAGGCUUAACACAUGCAAGUCGAGCGGGGGAAGGUAGCUUGCUACCGGACCUAGCGGCGGGCGGGUGAGUAAUGCUUAGGAAUCUGCCUAUUAGUGGGGGACAACAUCUCGAAAGGGAUGCUAAUACCGCAUACGUCCUACGGGAGAAAGCAGGGGAUCUUCGGACCUUGCGCUAAUAGAUGAGCCUAAGUCAGAUUAGCUAGUUGGUGGGGUAAAGGCCUAACAAGGCGAAGAUCUGUAGCGGGUCUGAGAGGAUGAUCCGCCACACUGGGACUGAGACACGGCCCAGACUCCUACGGGAGGCAGCAGUGGGGAAUAUUGGACAAUGGGGGGAACCCUGAUCCAGCCAUGCCGCGUGUGUGAAGAAGGCCUUAUGGUUGUAAAGCACUUUAAGCGAGGAGGAGGCUACUUUAGUUAAUACCUAGAGAUAGUGGACGUUACUCGCAGAAUAAGCACCGGCUAACUCUGUGCCAGCCGCCGCGGUAA
rnacentral:rRNA from 1 species